GAGACACCCUUAUGGGGGAGGACUUGCUUCAGUGGGGCUUUGGUGCUCACUGAGUCUGCCACCUAAGUGUGUCUCU
rfam:Myotis davidii contig156755, whole genome shotgun sequence.